UCCUUCUUAGCUCAGUUGGUAGAGCGCGUCACUAGUAAAUCUUAUGUUGCUCAAAUAUGACGAGGUCAGUCGUUCGAGUCGGCUAGAAGGAA
rnacentral:tRNA from 1 species